CCGCCCGGAGCCCACUCGCCGGAUGUCCUGAUGCACCCUGGAGCUAGAUCUUCACAGCACUGUGGGCGCAGACCAGCCAGCAGGCGCGCAGCACCUGUUGGCCCCAAGUCUUAAGCCAGUUCUCCUGUUUGCUAAGCGUCCCGAGGACCCACCAGGCACUUUAUCAAGUGACCAAGAAAUGAAUGUGGCCCCCCUCCCCUCAAGCCCCCCACAGAUGCAUGUGUCUGUCACUCAGACAGUGCUGGCACAGCCGGGCAACCAGGGCCACGUGGUCAGGAGUCAGGGUCUAAAUCAGCACUGUGAGCUGCCGGCAGCCUGAGCGUGAGCAGGGCCCAGUCCAGCUGAUACUGGGUGGGGAUCAGUUUCCAAGAAGCUCUGGUUUCGGCACUGAAAGGGCCUCAGGUUGCUCAGUCCGACUCCCACACAGCCAGAAGGACAGAACCCUGCCUCCCAUCAGCAGGGACCCAUUCCCUGCAUCCUUGACCCCCCUGACAUGCAGGUUGGCUCCUCUGGACCAGCCCAUCCCGCCCCAUCCUUGCACUCAGAGUGCCCAGAGAGCCCUUGGGGCUGUCAGCAUUGGAUGUGUUUGCAAAGCUCUAAUGACUUUCUGUAUAUGAGCCAGGCCCAGGGCACCGCGUCCUCAUCCCCCAUGUGCACAAACCCCGCUGUCCCCAGCCCAGCUGCUCAAGCUCAACUCCAGUAUCCACAUGGCUCCAGCCAGGAGAUUUCAAGAUUUAUGUAUGCAAGAACUGGGGCACAGGCCAGAGGUCCAGAGCAAGAGGAUUCACCAGAGACAGUGGGGAACAGAACGGGCGGAUCCACUGAAACACGCUGCUGAGAGGAGCAGGGGGACAGGAGAGAUCUGCUGCGCCAUGUGGGUCGCUCCCUGCCCAGGGAUGGAACUCAUGCUGCAGUAGCAGGACACGCCGGAGGUCACAGCCAGGGCCCCCACGCAGCGUGGCUCACCCCUGCGCCCAGGCUGGGCCGAGGCCGCGAGGAGCACCCCACCUGCCCCCACCCCGACAAGGCAUCUGCCCAGACCACCACCGCCUCCAGCGCCGGCCGCUCCCUGCUGCCCCUCCGG